AUGAACGCUGGCGGCGUGCCUAAUCCAUGCAAGUCGAGCGAACGGACGAGAAGCUUGCUUCUCUGAUGUUAGCGGCGGACGGGUGAGUAACACGUGGAUAACCUACCUAUAAGACUGGGAUAACUUCGGGAAACCGGAGCUAAUACCGGAUAAUAUUUUGAACCGCAUGGUUCAAAAGUGAAAGACGGUCUUGCUGUCACUUAUAGAUGGAUCCGCGCUGCAUUAGCUAGUUGGUAAGGUAACGGCUUACCAAGGCAACGAUGCAUAGCCGACCUGAGAGGGUGAUCGGCCACACUGGAACUGAGACCCGGUCCAGACUCCUACGGGAGGCAGCCGUAGGGAAUCUUCCGCAAUGGGCGAAAGCCUGACGGAGCAACGCCGCGUGAGUGAUGGAGGUCUUCGGAUCGUAAAACUCUGUUAUUAGGGAAGAACAUAUGUGUAAGGAACUGUGCACAUCUUGACGGUACCUAAUCAGAAAGCCACGGCUAACUACGUG
rnacentral:rRNA from 1 species